AGAGUUUGAUCAUGGCUCAGGAUGAACGCUAGCGGCAGGCCUAAUACAUGCAAGUCGGACGGUAAGCGCCCCUUCGGGGGCGCGAGAGUGGCGCACGGGUGCGUAACGCGUAUGCAACCAGCCCCGUCCAGGCGGAUAGCCGGUGGAAACGCCGGAUAAUACGCCACGGUCCCUCGGGGGGGCAUCCCCCUGGGGGUGAAGCGGAGACGCGGGACGGGACGGGCAUGCGUGCCAUUAGCUGGUUGGCGGGGCGACGGCCCACCAAGGCUACGAUGGCUAGGGGAUCUGAGAGGACGGUCCCCCACACUGGUACUGAGACACGGACCAGACUCCUGCGGGAGGCAGCAGUAAGGGAUAUUGGUCAAUGGGGGGAACCCUGAACCAGCCAUGCCGCGUGAGGGAAUGAGGCCCUACGGGUCGUGAACCUCUUUUAUUCGGGGACAACGGCGGCGUCGUGAACGCCGCGUGAGGGUACCGAAGGAAUAAGCGUCGGCUAACUCCGUGCCAGCAGCCGCGGUAAUACGGAGGACGCGAGCGUUAUCCGGAUUCAUUGGGUUUAAAGGGUGCGCAGGCGGCCGUGCAAGUCAGCGGUGAAAGCCCGGGGCUCAACCCCGGAAGUGCCGUUGAUACUGCAUGGCUGGAAUGCGGUCGAGGCGGGCGGAACGUGGCGUGUAGCGGUGAAAUGCGUAGAUAUGCCACAGAACGCCGAUAGCGGAGGCAGCUCGCCAGGCCUGCAUUGACGCUCGGGCACGAAAGCGUGGGGAUCGAACAGGAUUAGAUACCCUGGUAGUCCACGCCGUAAACGAUGGGCGCUCGUCGUCGGCGGCAGACAGUCGGCGGCCAAGCGAAAGCGAUAAGCGCCCCACCUGGGGAGUACGGUCGCAAGGCUGAAACUCAAAGGAAUUGACGGGGGCCCGCACAAGCGGUGGAGCAUGUGGUUUAAUUCGA
rnacentral:rRNA from 1 species